rnacentral:rRNA from 1 species
AACCUGCCUUCAGGAUGGGGACAACANACGGAAACGACUGCUAAUACCGAAUAAGUUCCAAGAGCCGCAUGGCCCAUGGAAGAAAAGGUGGCCUCUACCUGUAAGCUAUCGCCUGAAGAGGGGUUUGCGUCUGAUUAGCUGGUUGGAGGGGUAACGGCCCACCAAGGCGACGAUCAGUAGCCGGUCUGAGAGGAUGAACGGCCACACUGGAACUGAGACACGGUCCAGACUCCUACGGGAGGCAGCAUG